AGGCAGCGCGCGCACGCGCAGUGCGGCGCGGCAAACGCCCCGCCCCCGGCGCGCCUUCCGGAGCAAGGGGCGGGACAGAGGAAGGUGGUCUGGAUCGUUGGCUGACCAAGUGAUCAAAAUGAAAACAAGUCAGCAUCAAGAAGUACCAUAGUGGCUUUGCAGUUCUACUCCAUCCUGACUCUGCCUUAGCCAAGAAAAUGUGGUGGUUGCCCGCCUAAAUCAUGAUGAGAAGAAGCCUGGACUCGUUGGCUGGAGGAGGAGACCAGGUGGAGAGAGCACCUUGCAAAGCCACCUAACUGACCCAGAGAACGGACAUAGAGCCAAGUUGGUUGAGGUACACAAAACUGUCCUGUUGAUCCACAGAUACAUGAGAAAGAAUGAAGGAAUCUUCUAUUAAGCCACUCUUUUUGACAUGAAUAGGUAUGUAGCUGCUGCUGCUGCUAAGUCACUUCAGUCGUGUCCGACUCUGUGUGACCCCAUAGACUUCAGCCCAGCAGGCUCCCCGUCCCUGGGAUUCUCCAGGCAAGAACACUAGAGUGGGUUGCCAUUUCCUUCUCCAAGGCAUGAAAGUGAAAAGUGAAAGUGAAGUCGCUCAGUCCUGUCCGAACUCUUCGCAAAUCCAUGGACUGCAGCCCACCAGGCUCCUCCGUCCAUGGGAUUUUCCAGGCAAGAGUACUGGAGUGGGGUGCCAUUGCCUUCUCUGAGGUAUGUAGCAACAACUAAUAAAUUCCAACAGGUGCCUCGAGGAGGCAGAUGGCUGUAAUGAAAGCAGUGGCUCGUUCAUAUGAGUGAAAAUGCUUAGAAACUAUGUUGACUUAACAAAUUUGCUUGCACCUCUUUUCUGCCAGUAUUGUAAUCAUACCAAUUAAAUCCUGCCUCAUCUAGUCAUCUUUCUGUCAUCACUAGCUCACAGACUCAUCUCAAAUUCAUUAUCUGAACUCAGCACACACCUGACACUUACGUCUGCACGGCGUAUAAGUAUAUGUAAUACUCCCUGCUAAUGUGAUACAAGCUCCUUAAUGCCCAGAUAACUUCUUCAGCGCAUGAUGAUGCACACCUUAUACACAGAAGUGUUCAAGCACUGAUCAUGAGAUCUUUUUAAACUUUUAAAAGUUGAAUGCCUUUUCAUAUACUGCUAGUAGGAUUGUAAAAUAUUUCAAUCUCCUUAUAAAACAGUUUGGCAAUUUCUUAAAAAGUUAAACAUACACCAACCAUAUGAUCCAAUGAUCCAGCUGUUCAACUUCUAGGUAAUUUUACCCAAGAGAAAUGAAAGUAUAUACCAUUAAAAGAUACAAUGUAAAUGAAUGUAAUCUGAAUGUAAAUGAACAUUUAAUAACAGCUUUAUGUAUAAUAAAAAAAUAGAAACAAUCUAGAUGUCUGUCAAUAGAUGAAUGGAUAAACAACUAUGGUAUGUCCAUAUAAUGGAAUACUUCUGAGCAAUAAAAGGGAAUGAACUGUUGAUACAUGCUAUAAUAUGGUGGCAUGUCAAAGUAAUUCUGAUAAGUGAAAGAAGCCAGACCAAAGAGAGGUAUACAUUCAUAUAAAAUUUCAGGAAAUGGAUGGUAAUAUAUAGCAACAGAAAGCAGAUGAAUGGUUGGGAGUAGGGGGGCAAGGAAGGCAGAUAGAUUGCAAUGGGGUAAAAGGAAACUUUGAGAGUGAUAGGUAUGUUCACUGUUUUGCUCGUGGUGAUGUUUUCAUCAUAUGACAUCAUAUGAUAUAUAUUAAAGCAUACCAAAUUGUGUAUUUUAUAUACGUGAAGUUUAUUGCAUGUCAAUCAUAUCUCAAUAAAACUAUUAAAAUCUACUUUUGUCAUUGUUAGAGAAGUAUAGGCAAGAUUUAUUAAGUAAUAUUUUUAAAAAUCAUGAAUUAGUAAAUCUAAAUUACUUCUCAUAUAUACAUUGUCCUUCAAUUACUCCUGUGUUUUGAUUUUGUUACCAUAGAUGUCAGACAGAAACAUGAGAAUAGCAUUUCAGAUAAUCUUUUUAAUUUAGCUCAACCCCCUAUUAGUAAUUUGACCCUUUUUCAUUGAGAAGUAAAUAAUGACAUUCUCUAGCAUUUUAAUAAUUAUUAUAUAUAUUUCAAUUAAUAUUAGUUUACUCAAGGCCAUAGAUGACUGACACAUGUAGUAGGCAUUUUCUAAUACAUUUGUUGGAGGGAGAGGGGAGAGCUCUCUGAAAAAGUAGUAACUUGAAAUGAAUUUUUAGGUAGAACACUAGGAUAUUUAUUAAAAGCCAGAUGUUGACUUUUUUCAUAUUUAAUUAUUUUAAUGAGCCUGUGACACUGUUAAGAAAUAAGCACAGAAUCCUUCAAAACUUGUACACAUCCGUGUGUGUGCUCAGUUGCUAAGUCAUGUCCGACUCUUUGCAGCCCCAUGGACUGUAGCCCACCAUGCUCCUCUGUCCAUGGGAUUUCCCAAGCAAGAAUACUGGAGUGGGUUGUCAUCAGAUGUUGGCUUUUAACAGUUGCUUCACUUGAUGAAAUGUUGAGUGGAUCAGGUGGGGAGUAUUAUGGCCCUCCAAAGAUAGCCACAGUCCUCAUCCUCAGGACCUUAUACGCAUGAGUUGACAUUUUCUACAUCCUGAUGGAGACCUGGGCUAUCUGUUUCUAUGAAGAAAAUGGGAAGCAUCUGAUUGAGAAAUUAAGAUGAUAUGGAACCUGAGACCACACAGACUUCUCAUGUAAAGGGCAAAAAAGCAACGAGUGUUCAGCUAGAAAUAAGUUAUUUUAUUUUAAAACACAUACAUAUUAAUAAAUAUUAUUGGAAAACUUAAUAAAUAGCCUUUUAUUUACAUAAGGCAAUUAC